UGGUGGGUGUUUUCAUCUCGGUCCCUUUCUCUUUGCGGUGCGUCAGAGACGUGAGAAGACAGAUAUGAACGCCUCCAAUACAAAACGGUCGUUUCGAGCAGACAAACAGCCUGGCUUGUUAUUCUACAUACAUAUUCAAAACUGUUUUGAGGAGCAACAACAACAAAAACAACCAUAAGCGGGGGGAAAGAAGGCAUACACACACGUGUGCCAACGGCAUCGCUCGAUAUCUCACUCAGUGUGACUCCAGGCCCCCUCUCGUGAAUGUGCCAUCUUUUUUCUCCAGAUCGUUUAACGUUUCGUUUGUUACUUAAAAGGAAGAAGAAGAAAAAUGGAUUCAAACUGGCAUCGAUGUUUUUAAAAACUUGUUGAUCAAAGUUUACGAGCUA